AAGCGGAUUUGAUCUAUGCUCAGAUACGCUGGCGGCAUGCCGCACACAUGCAAGUCGAACGAACGCUUCGGCGUUAGUGGCGCUCAGGUGCGUAACGCGUGGGAAUCUGCCACGUGCUUCGGAAUAACAGUUAGAAAUGACUGCUAAUACCGGAUGAUGUCUUCGGACCAAAGAUUUAUCGGCAAGGGAUGAGCCCGCGUAGGAUUAGCCAGUUGGUGGGGUAAAGGCCUACCAAGCCGACGAUCCUUAGCUGGUCUGAGAGGAUGAUCAGCCACACUGGGACUGAGACUAUGCCAGUAUCCUACGGGAGGCAGCAGUGGGGAAUAUUGGACAAUGGGCGCAAGCCUGAUCCAGACGACACGCGUGAGUGAUGAAGGCCUAUCGGUCGUAAAGCUCUAGUACCAGGGAUGAUAAUGACAGUACCUGGAGAAUAAGCUCCGGCUAACUCCGUGCCGUUGCCGCGGUAAUACGGAGGCUCCUAGCGCACGGCGGAAUGGCAGGGACGUAAAGCGCACGUAGGCGGAGUCUCAAGUCAGAGGUGAAAGCCCGGUCAGCAACCCAUGAACUGCCUUUGAAACUAGGUAGCUGGAAUCUUGGAGCUACACAGUGGAAUUCCGAGUGUACUCGUGAAAUUCGUAGAUAUUCGGAUAGAACACCAGUGGCGAAGAUGACUGACUGGGAGGUAUUGACGCUGAGGUGCGAAAGCGUGGGGAGCAAACAGGAUUAGAUACCCUGGUAGUCCACGCCGUAAACGAUGGCUUCUAGCUGUCCGGUCACUGCGUGAUUGGGUGGCGCAGCUAACGCAUUAAGUUAUCCGCCUGGGGAGUACGGUCGCAAGAUUAAAACUCAAAGGAAUUGACUGAUACUGCAGUCGCGGUGGAGCAUGUGGUUUAAUUCGAAGCAACGCGCAGAACCUUACCAGCGUGUCAUCAUCCCGCGCUACUUCCAGAGAUGGAAGGUUCCCUAGCAUGGACGCGGUGACAGGUGCUGCAUGGCUGUCGUCAGCUCGUGUCGCACGAUGUACUAGUCUACAGUUAGAACGAGCGCAACCUACGUCCUUAGUUGCCAUCAUUUAGUUGGGCACUCUAAGGAGUGCGCCGGUGAUAAGCCGGAGGAAGGUGGGGAUGACGUCAAGUCCUCAUGGCCCUUACACGCUGAGGUCCACACGUGCUACAAUGUCAGUGACAGUGGGCAGCAAGCACGCGAGUGUGAGCUAAUCUCCAAAAGCCGUCAGCAUUCGGAUUGUUCUCUGAGACUCGAGAGCAUGAAGGCGGAAUCGCUAGUAAUCGCGGAUCAGCGACUCGCGGUGAAUACGUUCCCAGGCCUUGUACACACCGCCCGUCACACCAUGAAAGUUGGGUUCACCCGAACUAUUCUAGCUAACUCGCCUCAGAGGCAGGCGACCACGGUGGUUAGCGACUGGGGUGAUCCAGUGUAACAAGGCUAGUUGACU
rnacentral:rRNA from 1 species